rnacentral:rRNA from 1 species
CGCGUAGGCGGUCGAUUAAGUCCCGUGUGAAAUCCCUCGGCUCAACUGAGGAACUGCACGGGAAACUGGCUGACUUGAGUUCGGGAGAGGGAAGCGGAAUUCCGGGUGUAGCGGUGAAAUGCGUAGAUAUCCGGAGGAACACCGGUGGCGAAGGCGGCUUCCUGGACCGAUACUGACGCUGAGGCGCGAAAGCUAGGGGAGCAAACGGGAUUAGAUACCCCGGUAGUCCUAGCUGUAAACGAUGAGUGCUGGGUGUAGGGGGUAUUAACCCCUCCUGUGCCGAAGCUAACGCAUUAAGCACUCCGCCUGGGGAGUACGGUCGCAAGGCUGAA